rnacentral:rRNA from 1 species
CAUUUAGAGGAAGUAAAAGUCGUAACAAGGUCUCCGUAGGUGAACCUGCGGAGGGAUCAUUACAAGUGACCCCGGUUUACCACCGGGAUGUUCAUAACCCUUUGUUGUCCGACUCUGUUGCCUCCGGGGCGACCCUGCCUUCGGGCGGGGGCUCCGGGUGGACACUUCAAACUCUUGCGUAACUUUGCAGUCUGAGUAAACUUAAUUAAUAAAUUAAAACUUUUAACAACGGAUCUCUUGGUUCUGGCAUCGAUGAAGAACGCAGCGAAAUGCGAUAAGUAAUGUGAAUUGCAGAAUUCAGUGAAUCAUCGAAUCUUUGAACGCACAUUGCGCCCCCUGGUAUUCCGGGGGGCAUGCCUGUUCGAGCGUCAUUUCACCACUCAAGCCUCGCUUGGUAUUGGGCAACGCGGUCCGCCGCGUGCCUCAAAUCGACCGGCUGGGUCUUCUGUCCCCUAAGCGUUGUGGAAACUAUUCGCUAAAGGGUGCUCGGGAGGCUACGCCGUAAAACAACCCCAUUUCUAAGGUUGACCUCGGAUCAGGUAGGGAUACCCGCUGAACUUAAGCAUAUCAAUAAG